UCUUCAGCUGUACAGCAAGCAUGUCAAAUUCAAAGACUAACACGGACCAAAUAAAAGAGGUAUUCGGCCCUCAGGCCAUGAGUUUGACAUGCUUGGGCU